CUUACCUUCGUCAUCUACCGUGCACAGUUUUGUUUGCCAUAGAGAAAAAAUAGCAGUUAUCGUAAACACUUGAAACACUUUAUUAUGCUGAUUUUGUAACAUUGGAAAGAAAGCACCCUACGUUUCCACAGCAACUUGCCACUAACCCUGAAGAGAAAGACUUGAAGUACAGGACACAUGGUUUUUCUGUAGCGCACUUGACACUUACGACGCUUCACACCAGCCCCGACACCCACACCCACCCACACUCACUCGCUCACUCGUCAGGAUCAAUACAUGGACAUCCUCCUACUUUGCAUCUACGAAGUGUUAAGGAAGGGCGGAGUACUCGGUCACGUGCAUGUCGACUGGCCUCUUGCAGACUCAUUGCGCUCUUAGGUUCCUCUUGUCUUGGGUAGUACCGCGUGCCACCAAAUAUAUAUCAAUAAGCCUGAAACUGCGCUUCACGCACAUGACGCCACUACCACCAACAGAACGCCUUUUUCACGGCUCUUGUAACACCAAUCCUACGUGCUCCCUAGCCUACCUUUCUCCCUCUGUAUGGAAAUGAUACUGGGACAUAAGUUAUCAGUAGGCGUUCGCGGGGUUGGAAAGGUGAGGGGGUCGGCGUCGUCUUGUUCUGCAGCGAUUUGAGACUUUAUUGAGACAUUUUACUGUAUCCUUUUGCAAACCUGACCUCUCGUGUUGUAUCUUUUUGAUGUUGUUUGGUGAAUAAGGGCGUGGUUGUUGGUGUGUACUGAAAUCAUAAUAUUGGUAAAGAGGGAACGUUAGUUGUUUGUAAGGUAUAAUUAUGUAGCUCGUCUUUCCUUUACAAUUUCUCCUCUCCUUUCCUUUUUUCAUCUUCUUCAUUCCCUUCCCUCUCCAUUUCAUCUUUUCCUCCUCUCUCCUCCUCUUUCAUAUCCUUUUGCUCUAUAGAGUAAAAGAAAAGGAAGUAUACGGAAGGAUAACAAAAAGACGUAAAUAAAAACUAAAACUAUUGAUGGACUGUAUUUCGUGCACUGGGGUCUUCGUCGUGAGCCCCCCCCCCUUCCCAGCAGCUGCCUUCGGGGUGGGGUGGGGGGGGGUGAGAGGCUUGUGUCUUGGGGGUACAGUGACAGCUUUUUGGUGCCUGCAUACACACACACACACACACACACACACACACACACACACGCGUUAUAGGCCCCUCUGAUGACUGCCGGGGCCUGCACUCUGGUCGUUCUGGCGCGUCCCCGCACCGCCUCUCCCACCUGUUGAUUGGUGCUCCAGUCCGAUGCUCCCUCUGGCACCAAAUUCCAUCCUUUACCUGUCGUAGCGGCGUGAAUGGACAGCGGCGGCGUUUAUUUUUAAGUCCCUUUCAGUCAGUCAUUGCGAGCUGGUGUCUUGGUGAUGGAAAGUAUAGCUCGUAUUUUUCAGUCCCUAUCAGUCAGUCAUUGCGAGCUGGUGUCUUGGUGAUGGAAAGUAUAGCUCGUAUUUUUCGGUCCCUUUCAGUCAGUCAUUACGAGCUGGUGUCUUGGUGAUGGAAGGUAUAGCUCGUAUUUUUCGGUCCCUUUCAGUCAGUCAUUGCGAGCUGGUGUCUUGGUGAUGGAAAGUAUAGCUCGUAUUUUUCGGUCCCUUUCAGUCAGUCAUUACGAGCUGGUGUCUUGGUGAUGGAAAGUAUAGCUCGUAUUUUUCGGUCCCUUUCAGUCAGUCAUUACGAGCUGGUGUCUUGGUGAUGGAAAGUAUAGCUCGUAUUUUUCGGUCCCUUUCAGUCAGUCAUUGCGAGCUGGUGUCUUGGUGAUGGAAAGUAUAGCUCGUAUUUUUCGGCCCCUUUCAGUCAGUCAUUACGAGCUGGUGUCUUGGUGAUGGAAAGUAUAGCUCGUAUUUUUCGGCCCCUUUCAGUCAGUCAUUGCGAGCUGGUGUCUUGGUGAUGGAAAGUAUAGCUCGUAUUUUUCGGCCCCUUUCAGUCAGUCAUUGCGAGCUGGUGUCUUGGUGAUGGAAAGUAUAGCUCGUAUUUUUCGGCCCCUUUCAGUCAGUCAUUGCGAGCUGGUGUCUUGGUGAUGGAAAGUAUAGCUCGUAUUUUUCGGCCCCUUUCAGUCAGUCAUUGCGAGCUGGUGUCUUGGUGAUGGAAAGUAUAGCUCGUGUUCUUAACCCGUCCGCUGCGAUUGGCACGGAUUUGCCUUUCACUGGUAGCUUGGUAACUAUACUCCCAUGUCUUUCUCUGCCUCUGUGGUGGAUAGUGGAGUGUUUCCCAUGUGGUAUUGGUGUGCUGGAUAUCCCCUCCCAAGGUGCAGGACUUUACAUUUCAUUGAAUUGUAGCAGCCACUUUUUGUUCCAUUCCUGUAGCUUGGUGAGGUCUUCUUGUAGGAAAUCCGUAGUCAAGGGGUUAAAGGUAUGGGCACCGCAGUUCGCCUGUUUGAAAGGUCUUGUAGAAGUUUCUCGGCUUUUCAUGGACUGUUUUGUGAUCUUGUUGACAGUGUUACCCGACUUCUGCAUCGUGAACUGAAAAAUCACUCAUGAAAACCCGAGUAAUCUUUUCUUUGACCUUAGAAAAUUGGUUUAUAAUGUUUCUUAGUGGUCCCUCUAAGUGAGAAAAAUGAGAAAAAAAUCAUCACUCACACAAACCAUUUCAUAAUACAUAUCAAAGCAUUUGUGAUCAGUUUAUGUAUCAUCUAUUUUGAGGGGUUUAUAUCAUGGCAAAAAUUUGGCCCGUCGCUGGUACCGGGUUGAGAAAAAUGAACUUAUGAUUCGACGUCUUUCUGCGUACUCCUGUUUUUUUUUUUUUUUUUUUUUCCUAUUCCUAUACAUCACAUCCUUGGAGUGUUGUAAUGUUAUGUUGCGUGUUGGAAGUGUUGUGCUUGUUUUCUUUGCCUCCCGAUAUUAGACAAGGGCAACACAUUGGCUCUUGAGUCUGCCCAAGAGCAGCGGCAGCAGCCCGGCGCGCCCUCGCCCACGCGACAGGCAGGGGCCGCGGCCAGUGACACCAGCAGGUUGUGUGUGUGUGUGUGUCGCCCCUCCAGGAGGUGUGGCCGCCCCGGGGAGAUGCUGGGGCAGGUCACUAGUCGCGGGGCCUGGCCAGGGGCGGCGGGUGGUGAUAAAACAAGUUUGCUCGGCGGCACUCCCUCCAUGCAAACAUUUAGCCUUUGGUCUGCUGCAUAUUCUCCCUACCAUGACUUACCUACGGGGGGGAAGUAGCCAUGCAAACACUUAGCCUUGGGUCUACUGCAUAUUCUCCCUACCACGACUUAUCUACGGGGGGGAAGUAGCCAUGCAAACACUUAGAUUGAUAUUAUAAGUCACUUUCGUUUCUCACAUCAGCUAUUUUUAAAGGUCAAAGAGGGGGUCAGUCGGGUUCUAAUGAGUGUUUCUUCAGGUUCUUGGUACAGAAGAAGGGUCAAACUACAACCAGGGUCAUAAAACUACUCCUGCAAAUACCCACAGCUCAUACGCAAGCCUUGUCAAAUAUGUGUUCUUGGGCAGUGAAAUGUCUUAUGAUACGAACCUAAUCAGCCUUUACUCUGCUGUGUUUCCUUCUUACCAUGACUUGCUUCUACGGGAGGGGAGUAUCCAUGCAAACACUUGGCCUUUAUCCUGCGGGGUUUCUUCCUUCCUACGACUUACUUCUGCUGGAGGGGAAUAUCCAUGCAAAUAUCCAUCUUUUAGUCUCCUGUAUUUCUCUCUUACCACGACUGCUUCUACGCGAGGAGAGUAUCCAUGGGGUCGUAGAUGGCUAGAGGGGGAGAGAGGCAAAUAGGAAGGCUAGCAAGAGGAUCAGGACUGGAUCAUUGGGUCGUGGGUGCUACAGGGGGAGAGCGGCAAAUAGGAAGGCAAGCAAGAGGAUCAGGACUGGAUCAUUGGGUCGUGGGUGCUACAGGGGGAGAGAGGCAAAUAGGAAGGCAAGGAAGAGGAUCAGGACUGGAACAUUGGGUCGUAGAGGACUAGAAGGCGAGAGAGGCGAAUUGAAAGGCAAGGAAGAGGAUCAUAACUGGAACAUUGGGUCGGAGAGGACUAGAAGAGGAGAGAGGCAAAUAGAAAGGCAAGGAAGAGGAUCAGGACUGGAACAUUGGGUCGUAGAGGACUAGAAGGGGAGAGAGGCGAAUUGAAAGGCAAUGAAGAGGAUCAUAACUGGAACAUUGGG